CCCUGCCCUUUGUACACACCGCCCGUCGCUACUACCGAUUGAGUGUUUUAGUGAGGUCCUCGGAUUGCUGGCCUGGCGGUCUUCACGGAUUGCUUGGCCUGGCGAGAAGACGACCAAACUGAUGCACU
rnacentral:rRNA from 1 species